GACGAACGCUGGCGGCGUGCUUAACACAUGCAAGUCGAGCGGUAAGGCCCUUUCGGGGGUACGACGGCGGCGAACAGGUGAGUAACACGUGGGUGACCUGCCCUUAGCUCUGGGAUAAGCCUGGGAAACUGGGUCUAAUACCGGAUUUGACUCCAUGACGCAUGUUGUGGGGUGGAAAGCCUUGUGCGGCUAGGGAGUGGGCCCGCGGCCUAUCAGCUUGUUGGUGGGGUGAUGGCCACCAAGGCGACGACGGGUAGCCGGCCUGAGAGGGCGACCGGCC
rnacentral:rRNA from 1 species